UACGUAGGUGGCAAGCGUUGUCCGGAUUUACUGGGCGUAAAGAGCGCGCAGGCGGUCGUUCAAGUCGCGUGUGAAAGCCCCCGGCUCAACUGGGGAGGGUCACGCGAUACUGAUCGACUCGAAGGCAGGAGAGGGUAGUGGAAUUCCCGGUGUAGUGGUGAAAUGCGUAGAGAUCCGGAAGAACACCGGUGGCGAAGGCGGCCUGCUGGGCAGUUGCUGACACUGAGGCGCGACAGCGUGGGGAGCAAACAGG
rnacentral:rRNA from 1 species